rnacentral:rRNA from 1 species
CUGAAGAGUUUGAUCCUGGCUCAGAUUGAACGCUGGCGGCAGGCCUAACACAUGCAAGUCGAGCGGUAACAGAGAGUAGCUUGCUACUUUGCUGACGAGCGGCGGACGGGUGAGUAAUGCUUAGGAAUCUGCCAUUUAGUGGGGGACAACAUUCCGAAAGGGAUGCUAAUACCGCAUACGCCCUACGGGGGAAAGCAGGGGAUCUUCGGACCUUGCGCUAAUAGAUGAGCCUAAGUCAGAUUAGCUAGUUGGUGGGGUAAAGGCCUACCAAGGCGACGAUCUGUAGCGGGUCUGAGAGGAUGAUCCGCCACACUGGGACUGAGACACGGCCCAGACUCCUACGGGAGGCAGCAGUGGGGAAUAUUGGACAAUGGGCGAAAGCCUGAUCCAGCAAUGCCGCGUGAGUGAUGAAGGCCUUAGGGUUGUAAAGCUCUUUUACCAGGGAUGAUAAUGACAGUACCUGGAGAAUAAGCUCCGGCUAACUCCGUGCCAGCAGCCGCGGUAAUACGGAGGGAGCUAGCGUUGUUCGGAAUUACUGGGCGUAAAGCGCGCGUAGGCGGCUUUU